rnacentral:rRNA from 1 species
CUGCGGAGGGAUCAUUACCGAGUUUACAACUCCCAAACCCAAUGUGAACGUUACCAAACUGUUGCCUCGGCGGGAUCUCUGCCCCGGGUGCGUCGCAGCCCCGGACCAAGGCGCCCGCCGGAGGACCAACCAAAACUCUUUUUGUAUACCCCCUCGCGGGUUUUUUAUAAUCUGAGCCUUCUCGGCGCCUCUCGUAGGCGUUUCGAAAAUGAAUCAAAACUUUCAACAACGGAUCUCUUGGUUCUGGCAUCGAUGAAGAACGCAGCGAAAUGCGAUAAGUAAUGUGAAUUGCAGAAUUCAGUGAAUCAUCGAAUCUUUGAACGCACAUUGCGCCCGCCAGUAUUCUGGCGGGCAUGCCUGUCCGAGCGUCAUUUCAACCCUCGAACCCCUCCGGGGGGUCGGCGUUGGGGAUCGGCCCUGCCUCUUGGCGGUGGCCGUCUCCGAAAUACAGUGGCGGUCUCGCCGCAGCCUCUCCUGCGCAGUAGUUUGCACACUCGCAUCGGGAGCGCGGCGCGUCCACAGCCGUUAAACACCCAACUUCUGAAAUGUUGACCUCGGAUCAGGUAGGAAUACCCGCUGAACUUAAGCAUAUCAAUA